GGUUGUGGCUCAGUGGUAGAGUGUUUGCCUAGAACGGAUGAGGCACUGGGUUGGAUCCUCAGCACCA
rnacentral:tRNA from 1 species